CCAGCAGCCGCGGUAAUACGUAGGGCCCGAGCGUUGUCCGGAUUUAUUGGGCGUAAAGAGUAUGUAGGCGGAAUGGAAAGUCGGAUUUGAAAGCUCCAGGCUCAACUUGGAAUUUGGAUCCGAAACUUCUUUUCUUAGAGGAUAGCAGGGGCAAGCGGAAUUAGCGGUGUAGCAGUGAAAUGCGUUGAUCUCGCUAAGAACACCAAUGGCGAAGGCAGCUUGCUAGGUUAUCUCUGACGCUGAGAUACGAAAGCGUGGGGAGCGAACGGGAUUAGAUACCCCGGUAGUCCACGCCGUAAACGAUGCAGACUAGGUAUCAGAAGUAUCGACCCUUCUUGUACCGUAGCUAACGCGUUAAGUCUGCCGCCUGGGGAGUACGGCCGCAAGGCUAAAACUCAAAGGAAUUGACGGGGGCCCGCACAAGC
rnacentral:rRNA from 1 species